rnacentral:misc_RNA from 1 species
AAACCAUCAAGCCUAGCUUGGUCUUGGACGCGGUCGAGUGACCCGUCCGUAACCCGUUGGCGGUACAGUCCGGCUUCAAGCGUAGCAAAAAUUUCGCUUCAGGAGUCCGCGGCAGUGCCCGCUGGGUAAUUAUAUCCCAAA